rnacentral:rRNA from 1 species
GCCUAACACAUGCAAGUCGAACGAAGCUCUGCGAUACAAGACUUCGGUCAAGUUGAACGGAUGACUUAGUGGCGGACGGGUGAGUAACGCGUGAGGAACCUGCCUUUCAGUGGGGGACAACAGUUGGAAACGACUGCUAAUACCGCAUAAUGUAUUCUGACCGCAUGAUCGGAAUACCAAAGAUUUAUUGCUGAAAGAUGGCCUCGCGUCUGAUUAGAUAGUUGGUGAGGUAACGGCUCACCAAGUCGACGAUCAGAGGCCGGACUGGGGGGGUGAACGGCCACAUUGGGACUGAGAUACGGCCCAGCCUCCUACGGGAGGCAGCAGUGGGGAAUAUUGGGCAAUGGGGGAAACCCUGACCCAGCAACGCCGCGUGAAGGAAGAAGGCUUUCGGGUUGUAAACUUCUUUUACCAGGGACGAAGGACGUGACGGUACCUGGAGAAAAAGCCACGGCUAACUACGUGCCAGCCGCCGCGGUAA